rnacentral:lncRNA from 1 species
CCCAGCCAACCGAAAAUCAAACUCAAAGUCAUUCGUAUCCCCUGCUUCUGAACAGAUCUCAACUCCUCUUCACCCACGGAUCACUCCCUUCCCAGCUCCCAUGCAUUCAAGACAUUCAUCUAAAACCAAGCCUCAUCCUCUUCUCCCGUAUCCAAACAAAAUCCCAUGAACGCAGCAACCGUAUUCAUCCUCAUCUCCCGUUCUCAUAUGCUGUGAUUCUCCCCUGUUUCACGUACAUCCCGUUCGUGAGUUCCUCCCAGAACAGCCGAGAUCCUCUUCGCUUCAUUCCUUCCACAAUCAAAGCAACCCGCUCUCAUCUCUGCUUUGGAUC